CUGACACCACAACCAAUGUUGUUGUUAUCGUAGUCUGAACUGUUGUUCCUGUUGUUGUUAUGAUACUUCCAUUUUCAUUGUUACACAAACUAUAAAAGUUAUAUGAAGAGCACAAGCAAACUUCUAUGCUGGUAUUUCUCCGAUUGACGAUGACGAUACCUUAACACAAUCGGGCAUACCAUCUGACCUACAAAGGAAAAGUAAAUUAUACCCACAGUUUUCUAAAGUUCGUAUGUUCAUCUAUAUGCUUUGCCGAAAUCCGAAGGGAAUUUUAUCCUGAUACCGGAACAGCCCAAAUUGUCGCAGUUAUUGGUGGCCGCAAUUUAAAAG